rnacentral:rRNA from 1 species
AUGCAUUAUAUAUACUGGGAAAAAGUUGAGCCAAUUGGUGUGGAAACAUUUGAUCCUUUGUCUCGUGAAUACCCACUAAUGCUUAACUGGUCAGAAACGGAAGGGAAAAAGCGAGACGACUAUGACAACAUGCACGGGCGGGGCACCGGCAAUAUUGAAAACUGCGUUAGCGAAGAGUACAGACGUGCUAAGGUAGCACGUGAAGGGACUGUCCCAGAGGAAGAAACGAAGAAACCUAAACGGAAAGGUGGUGGCAGGAGUAGAAAGCCAAGCACGUCCGCGGUUUCAUCGAACACGACUUAUAGUAUGGACCGUGUGAUGACAUACGUAAAGCUGCUUCACAAGGAGGUUCUCAAUAUACCCGAAAGAUGUGCAAAGAUGGUAAUGGAAAGGUUGAACACGGAAGGUGUGCUGUACAAACCCAAUAAGAGGGAUAACAAUGACGAAUUUGAUAAUGUAGGUGAAGGAGUUGGGAUGGAGAAUGGCUAG